rnacentral:tRNA from 2 species
GGUAGCAUGGCCAAGUGGUCUAAAGCACUGAAUUUAGGCUCCAGUCAUUUCGAUAGCAUGGGUUCGAGUCCCACCACUGCCA